rnacentral:lncRNA from 1 species
GCGGGGCUUCACGGUGGCCGGAGGUGGGCUGGACGGCUCCGGCGGAGCUCCACCAGAUUUGAAAUGGCCGCUGAAACAGAGAAGAAGAACCAGCGACUCCGCUUGCUGGAAACAGGCAAAGCGGGCUUCGGCGGUCCAGGCGAUGGUUCCGGCUGCUGCACGGCGGCGAGACGACGGCUCACGGCUGGAGGACGACUAGGAACAGUGGCCAGGGAAGCUCGAGACGUUGCUGGACUCAAGACGGGCGCGAGACGAGCAGGAAGCUCGCGGGGCUGGCCACUGAGCACGACGGGCGAGUCAGCUGAUCCGGCGGCGAACGGCGGAGGGCGGAGGCGCGAGACGGCGGUCCAGUAGCUAGCUGGCUGCUCUGUCGUCUUCCCAGAUCUGCUGGGUUU